rnacentral:rRNA from 1 species
AACGAGCGCUGGCGGCAUGCCUAACACAUGCAAGUCGAACGAGACCUUCGGGUCUAGUGGCGCACGGGUGCGUAACGCGUGGGAACCUGCCCUUAGGUUCGGAAUAACUCCCCGAAAGGGGUGCUAAUACCGGAUAAUGUCUUCGGACCAAAGAUUUAUCGCCUUUGGAUGGGCCCGCGUUGGAUUAGCUAGUUGGUAGGGUAAAAGCCUACCAAGGCGACGACCAUAGCUGGUCUGAGAGGAUGAUCAGCCACACUGGGACUGAGACACGGCCCAGACUCCUACGGGAGGCAGCAGUGGGGAAUAUUGGACAAUGGGCGAAAGCCUGAUCCAGCAAUGCCGCGUGAGUGAUGAAGGCCUUAGGGUUGUAAAGCUCUUUUACCCGGGAUGAUAAUGACAGUACCGGGAGAAUAAGCUCCGGCUAACUCCGUG